AGAGUUUGAUCAUGGCUCAGAUUGAACGCUGGCGGCAGGCCUAACACAUGCAAGUCGAGCGGUAGCACAGAGAGCUUGCUCUCGGGUGACGAGCGGCGGACGGGUGAGUAAUGUCUGGGAAACUGCCUGAUGGAGGGGGAUAACUACUGGAAACGGUAGCUAAUACCGCAUAAUGUCGCAAGACCAAAGUGGGGGACCUUCGGGCCUCAUGCCAUCAGAUGUGCCCAGAUGGGAUUAGCUAGUAGGUGGGGUAACGGCUCACCUAGGCGACGAUCCCUAGCUGGUCUGAGAGGAUGACCAGCCACACUGGAACUGAGACACGGUCCAGACUCCUACGGGAGGCAGCAGUGGGGAAUAUUGCACAAUGGGCGCAAGCCUGAUGCAGCCAUGCCGCGUGUGUGAAGAAGGCCUUCGGGUUGUAAAGCACUUUCAGCGGGGAGGAAGGCGUUAAGGUUAAUAACCUUGGCGAUUGACGUUACCCGCAGAAGAAGCACCGGCUAACUCCGUGCCAGCAGCCGCGGUAAUACGGAGGGUGCAAGCGUUAAUCGGAAUUACUGGGCGUAAAGCGCACGCAGGCGGUCUGUCAAGUCGGAUGUGAAAUCCCCGGGCUCAACCUGGGAACUGCAUUCGAAACUGGCAGGCUAGAGUCUUGUAGAGGGGGGUAGAAUUCCAGGUGUAGCGGUGAAAUGCGUAGAGAUCUGGAGGAAUACCGGUGGCGAAGGCGGCCCCCUGGACAAAGACUGACGCUCAGGUGCGAAAGCGUGGGGAGCAAACAGGAUUAGAUACCCUGGUAGUCCACGCCGUAAACGAUGUCGAUUUGGAGGUUGUGCCCUUGAGGCGUGGCUUCCGGAGCUAACGCGUUAAAUCGACCGCCUGGGGAGUACGGCCGCAAGGUUAAAACUCAAAUGAAUUGACGGGGGCCCGCACAAGCGGUGGAGCAUGUGGUUUAAUUCGAUGCAACGCGAAGAACCUUACCUGGUCUUGACAUCCACAGAACUUUCCAGAGAUGGAUUGGUGCCUUCGGGAACUGUGAGACAGGUGCUGCAUGGCUGUCGUCAGCUCGUGUUGUGAAAUGUUGGGUUAAGUCCCGCAACGAGCGCAACCCUUAUCCUUUGUUGCCAGCGGUUCGGCCGGGAACUCAAAGGAGACUGCCAGUGAUAAACUGGAGGAAGGUGGGGAUGACGUCAAGUCAUCAUGGCCCUUACGACCAGGGCUACACACGUGCUACAAUGGCAUAUACAAAGAGAAGCGACCUCGCGAGAGCAAGCGGACCUCAUAAAGUAUGUCGUAGUCCGGAUUGGAGUCUGCAACUCGACUCC
rnacentral:rRNA from 1 species